CUCCUAGAUGUUCUGGGCUGCACGCGCACUACACUGAUGGCUGAAACGAGUACCCCUAUCUUGGGUCCUUGCUCGAAAGGGCUGGGAAAUCUUCUGAAUAGCCAUCGUGACUGGGAUAGAUGAUUGCAAUUAUUUGCCCUGAACGAGGAAUGCCUAGUACAGGCAGUUCAUCAUACUGCCUGGAUUACGUCCCUGUCAUUUGUACACACCGCCCGUCGUUGCUACCGAUGGUAGUUGAAUAGAGGCGUUGGGAGGGCCUCGCGUCUCGGUUCGCCGUGCCGGGUGCCCGAACUCCACCGAUAUUUGACUACUAGAGGAAGCAAAAGUCGUAACA
rnacentral:rRNA from 1 species